rnacentral:rRNA from 1 species
UACGUAGGGUGCAAGCGUUAAUCGGAAUUACUGGGCGUAAAGGGUGCGCAGGCGGUUCUGUAAGUCAGAUGUGAAAUCCCCGGGCUUAACCUGGGAAUUGCGUUUGAAACUACAGAGCUAGAGUGUGGCAGAGGGGGGUGGAAUUCCAUGUGUAGCAGUGAAAUGCGUAGAGAUAUGGAAGAACAUCGAUGGCGAAGGCAGCCCCCUGGGUUAACACUGACGCUCAUGCACGAAAGCGUGGGGAGCAAACAGG